AAAGAAUAAAAAAGUUGCAGCGCCGCAAACGACAACCCUCCAUAAAAGGUCCAUCGUCUUCUUCGUUCGAGAUAACACCAGUAGAGUCACGCCUAAGAAUUGAAAAGGCGCCGCAAAUCAAUUAAAAAAACACGACCUCCUCACCCAAGUUCAUCUUCUUUGACAUUUCCAUCUAAAAACGAGCUCGAAACUAAGCUCAAAACUGAGCCCCAAAUAGAUUUGUUAUUGCUGGAAAUCCAGUCCCCCAAGACAUCAUUCAAAGUUGACAAGUCUGCUAAGCUUCGGUCUUAGUUCUCGUUCAUCAUACUACUACAGUUUUUACGGAAGAAGCUUUUGCUCCAAUAAAAGUCCAAUUUUUAAACAUUUUUGUCCAUUUUAUUCCCUUUUGACAUUCAUAUGUGAUUAAUCUGGUAUAUGAUUUUGGUGUUAUGUAUAAUGUUUGAGUAUAUUAUCCAUUUCUCACUUGUUUAAUUAGUUAAUGCAAGAUUUUAUUUUAAUUUUUUAGUAUAUAUUUUCUAUUUGAAUAGAACUUGUUCGAUUU
rnacentral:lncRNA from 1 species